rnacentral:rRNA from 1 species
UCAAGAUGAGAUUUCCCAACUUCGGUUAUAAGAUCCCUCAAAGAUGAUGAGGUUAAUAGGUUCGAGGUGGAAGUACAGUAAUGUAUGGAGCUGACGAAUACUAAUCGAUCGAAGACUUAAUCAAUUUAUA